GGGUCCGUAGUCUAGCGGUUAGGACGCCGCCCUCACACGGCGGAGAGCUGGGUUCAAUUCCCAGCGGACCCA
rnacentral:tRNA from 1 species